rnacentral:lncRNA from 1 species
AAAACCCAGAAAAUCAUCACUUUACAAUACCUGUAGAAAUUUACUCAUCCAGUCAAGAAUUAUGUAUUGGUUUUAAAACCAUCCACUAAAUGACUGAUGAGAAUGAACCAACGUAAACAUAACAUUUUGGUCAAAGGGAAGUAACAAUCACCAGCCAUCUGGUAUAUCUCUCCUAAUGGUAUGCAAUUUGAAGUAUGUAAGAUCACCUCUGAUGUAUUCUGGCCAAAAAUCAAUCACAAUUAGAAUUAAAAAAAAAAUCAUCAGAGAUUCUUAAUUAGAACCAUGCGAAAGUAAUCAUAGAAAUCAAAGAACAAAUCUUCCAAAGGAGCAGAUAAUGAUGACUUUCUAAAGAUAAACAUAACUCAAACACAGAAAUCUAACUUCCAGACAGGACUAUAAUAUUUUCUGAGGAAGCAUUUUUUUUGCAGCUAGUAAUAAAAAGUACUAGUACUUAACAUUAAUCAAGUACUUACUACACACUGGGGACUAUUCUUAGAACUUUACAUGUAUUAACUUCUGGAGCUACACAAUCACCCUUUGAAUCAAAUAUUGCUAUUAUUUCUAUACUAUGAAAUGAGCAACUGAGGCCCAAGGUUUAAGUACCUACCUGAGACAUCCUGGUUGAAUUUAAUGAUUUUUCUGAGUAUGUGAAACAAUCACAUUGUUCUAAAGGAGUUUGAGACCAGCCUGGGCAAUAUGACGAAACCCCAUCUCUACAAAAAAUUAAAAACUAGCCAGACGCGGUGAUGCAC